GGUGCUUUGUAAAUAAACAGAAAGGCCUAAAACAGACAAGUCCAUUGAGAUGUGCAUAAAACAUGAAGUGUAGCUGACAUAUAUGACAUUGCCAUGGGCUUACACUGUGUGUUUACAUGGAACACUUCCACUGGCCUCUCCACCCACCCAGUCCAACUAGAGCCACCUAAUACAUACUCAAGGGAGAACACUGCAGUGUUUCUGUUCUGCUCAUAGGAUUUCUCAGAGAAGAAUCCACUUGAUGAUGGUCCCCAAUGUGUGUGUGUGUGUGUUAUGUCUCUGAGCAAGUGUGUGUGUGUGUGUGUGUGUGUGUGUGUGUUAUGUCUCUGAGCAAGUGUGUGUGAGUGUGUGUGUGUGUGUGUGUUAUGUCUCUGAGCAAGAGUGUGUGUGUGUGUGUGUGUGUGUUAUGUCUCUGAGCAAGAGUGUGUGUGUGUGUGUGUGUGUGUGUGUGUGUUAUGUGAUAAUGUGGGAUCCCAGUGGACUUCUGAGCAGGUUGAAUCAGGAUGUUAGAGCUGGCACUGAUGGAAUGCAGUGUGUGUGUGUGUGUGUGUGUGUGUGUGAUGGAAUGCACCAACAUGGCCUCAGGGCUGUGCUGGGUCACUCCUGCCUUGUUGUGCUUCAUGUGUUUGUUCAUCUCAGCCACACUCAGCCGGAGCAACCCACAGCCAGCGCCUGGGGGAGAUGACUUCUCCCACUUAACCGCUUCUAAUCCACACACACACACACACACACACACACACACACACACACACACAACACACACACACACACGGACAUGCACAUGCUCUCUGUUUCUCAUACAUUCACACACACCUCAGACCCCACCCCCACCACUCUCUCCUCCUGCCAAAGGCCUUAUAUGGGCUGCAGGGAGCCUGGCUGCCAAGCCUCUGUGGGUAUAUCUUCAGUGUGUGUGCUUACAGGCCAAAACAAUGAGUGGGGAAUGGAUGAAGGGGAAUGGCCUCUGAGGUGAGGAGGAGCCUGGGGGUGUGGGGGGGCACCUACCUCCUGGCUACCCAGAAUGCCUCAGGAUAUGC
ensembl:lncRNA